AACGAACGCUGGCGGCAUGCCUAAUACAUGCAAGUCGAACGAGAUCUUCGGAUCUAGUGGCGCACGGGUGCGUAACGCGUGGGAAUCUGCCCUUGGGUUCGGAAUAACUUCGGGAAACUGAAGCUAAUACCGGAUGAUGACGUAAGUCCAAAGAUUUAUCGCCCAAGGAUGAGCCCGCGUAGGAUUAGCUAGUUGGUGGGGUAAAGGCCUACCAAGGCGACGAUCCUUAGCUGGUCUGAGAGGAUGAUCAGCCACACUGGGACUGAGACACGGCCCAGACUCCUACGGGAGGCAGCAGUAGGGAAUAUUGGACAAUGGGCGAAAGCCUGAUCCAGCAAUGCCGCGUGAGUGAUGAAGGCCUUAGGGUUGUAAAGCUCUUUUACCCGGGAUGAUAAUGACAGUACCGGGAGAAUAAGCUCCGGCUAACUCCGUGCCAGCAGCCGCCGUAA
rnacentral:rRNA from 1 species